UACGGGGGGGGCAAGCGUUGUUCGGAAUUACUGGGCGUAAAGGGCUCGUAGGUGGCCAACUAAGUCGGACGUGAAAUCCCUCGGCUUAACCGGGGAACUGCGUCCGAUACUGGUUGGCUUGAGUUUGGGAGAGGGAUGCGGAAUUCCAGGUGUAGCGGUGAAAUGCGUAGAUAUCGAGAGGAACACCUGCGGCGAAGGCGGGUUGCUGGGCUGACACUGACGCUGAUGCGCGAAAGUGUGGGGAGCGAACAGG
rnacentral:rRNA from 1 species